CUACGGGUGGCAGCAGUGAGGAAUAUUGGUCAAUGGACGAGAGUCUGAACCAGCCAAGUAGCGUGACGGAUGACUGCCCUAUGGGUUGUAAACUUCUUUUAUUUGGGAAUAAAAUGUUCCACGUGUGGGAUUUUGUAUGUACCAUAUGAAUAAGGAUCGGCUAACUCCGUGCCAGCAGCCGCGGGAAUACGGAGGAUUCGUGCGUUAUCCGGAUUUAUUGGGGUUAAAGGGAGAGUAGGUGGAUUGUUAAGUCAGUGGUGAAAGUUUGGGGCUCAACCGGAAAAUUGCAGUUGAAACUGGCAGUCUUGAGUACAGUAGAGGUGGGCGGAAUUCGUGGUAUAGCGGUGAAAUGCUUAGAUAUCACGAAGAACUCCGAUUGCGAAGGCAGUUCACUGGACUGCAACUGACACUGAGGCUCGAAAGUGUGGGUAUCAAACAGGAUUAGAUACCCCAGUAGUC
rnacentral:rRNA from 1 species